GACGAACGCUGGCGGCGUGCCUAAUACAUGCAAGUAGAACGCUGAAGAGAGGAGCUUACUCUUCUUGGAUGAGUUGCGAACGGGUGAGUAACGCGUAGGUAACCUGCCUUGUAGCGGGGGAUAACUAUUGGAAACGAUAGCUAAUACCGCAUAACAAUGGAUGACACAUGUCAUUUAUUUGAAAGGGGCAAUUGCUCCACUACAAGAUGGACCUGCGUUGUAUUAGCUAGUAGGUGAGGUAAUGGCUCACCUAGGCGACGAUACAUAGCCGACCUGAGAGGGUGAUCGGCCACACUGGGACUGAGACACGGCCCAGACUCCUACGGGAGGCAGCAGUAGGGAAUCUGCGGCAAUGGGGGCAACCCUGACCGAGCAACGCCGCGGGAGGGAAGAAGGUUUUCGGAUCGUAAAGCUCUGUUGUAAGUCAAGAACGGGUGUGAGAGUGGAAAGUUCACACUGUGACGGUAGCUUACCAGAAAGGGACGGCUAACUACGUG
rnacentral:rRNA from 1 species